rnacentral:rRNA from 1 species
GCCUAGCCCUAAAUCUUGGUACUUCCCCUACUUAAGUAUCCGCCUGAGAACUACGAGCACAAACGCUUAAAACUCUAAGGACUUGGCGGUGCCCCAAACCCACCUAGAGGAGCCUGUUCUAUAACCGAUAACCCACGAUACACCCAACCACCCCUUGCCAGAGCAGCCUACAUACCGCCGUCGCCAGCCCACCUUCCCUGAGAGCACAACAGUGGGCACAAUAGUCUCACCCCCACUAGUACGACAGGUCAAGGUAUAGCCCAUGGGGUGGAAGAAAUGGGCUACAUUUUCUAACAUAGAAAAUUUACGGAAGGGGGCAUGAAACUACCCCCAGAAGGCGGAUUUAGCAGUAAAGAGAGACAAUGGAGCUCCCUUUAAAUUGGCCCUGAGGC